ACGUAGGCGGCAAGCGUUGUCCGGAAUUAUUGGGCGUAAAGGGAGCGCAGGCGGGAAACUAAGCGGAUCUUAAAAGUGCGGGGCUCAACCCCGUGAUGGGGUCCGAACUGGUUUUCUUGAGUGCAGGAGAGGAAAGCGGAAUUCCCAGUGUAGCGGUGAAAUGCGUAGAUAUUGGGAAGAACACCAGUGGCGAAGGCGGCUUUCUGGACUCUAACUGACGCUGAGGCUCGAAAGCUAGGGUAGCGAACGG
rnacentral:rRNA from 1 species